UGGGCUUGACAUCUACACGGGAGUCCAGGAGACUGGGCUGGCCCUUAUGGGACGUGUAGAC
rnacentral:rRNA from 1 species